AGACGGGGUUUCACCGUGUUAGCCAGGAUGGUCCCGAACGCACUGCCAUUUCUUUGGUGCUGCACUAUGCCACCCCCACUCUCCCUUGUUUUCAGUGUUCCCAGCCACCCAAACUCUCAAGACUCCAUCGAUUUUCUGAGUCAGAUAAUGGGAGGUUUGUGAGAUGUCUUGAGGAUGCUUUCAAAACUCUAGGAGAUUUGGGAAUUCAUGAUCCAGUCUCCACUCUUCUCCACCCUGCUCUGUGUCCUGGGAAACCGAACUAAAACGACUGCCUAAAAGAACUCUUGAUCUCCAAUACCUUCCUUGCUCUAUGGCUUCUGAUUGCAUCUGUCAGUGCAGUGAAAGCCACGGGCAGGAGAUACAGAAAGAAGAAAAACAAGCCAAGUUGAGGCACUUAUUUCCCAUCUUCUUGCAUACUUGUUUUCUAUUUGCCAUCUUCCCCUACCAAGGGCCAUACCUUUUAUCAGGUGGUCUUCUACACACAGCUGUCACGAGUUUCCCAUUAGGCCAAGAGAUACUGGGAGUUUUCCAUU